UGGACAUUGUAAUUUAGUUAUGAACACAGUC
rnacentral:piRNA from 1 species